CAGCCGCCGCGGGAAAACAGAGGGUGCGAGCGUUAAUUGGAUUUACUGGGCGUAAAGCGUGCGUAGGCGGCUUCUUAAGUCGGAUGUGAAAUCCCUGAGCUUAACUUAGGAAUUGCAUUCGAUACUGGGAAGCUAGAGUAUGGGAGAGGAUGGUAGAAUUCCAGGUGUAGCGGUGAAAUGCGUAGAGAUCUGGAGGAAUACCGAUGGCGAAGGCAGCCAUCUGGCCUAAUACUGACGCUGAGGUACGAAAGCAUGGGGAGCAAACAGGAUUAGAUACCCCUGUAGUCCCUGUCUCUUAUAC
rnacentral:rRNA from 1 species